rnacentral:ncRNA from 1 species
ACCGCCCGUCGCUACUAUCGAUUGAAUGUUUUAAUGAGGUCAUUGAAUCGGUGUCGUUGUAGUGGCUUUGCUGCUCGACUGAUGCUGAGAAGAUGACCUAAUUUGACUAUUUACAGGAAUUAAAAGUCGUAACAAGGUUUCCGUAGGUGAAUCUACGGAAG